GAUGAACGCUAGCGGCAGGCUUAACACAUGCAAGUCGAGGGCGAUUGAUAUUAGCAAUAGUAUUAAUUGACCGGCGAAAGGGUGCGUAACGCGUGAGUAACAUACCCGUUACAGAGGGAUAGUCGAUGGAAACGUCGUAUAAUACCUCAUAGUAUAGAUUUAUCCCCUGAUAGAUUUAUUAAAUCGUAAGAGGUAACGGAGUGGCUCGCGUCCCAUUAGUUAGUUGGCGUGGUAACGGCACACCAAGACAACGAUGGGUAGGGGUUCUGAGAGGAAGGUCCCCCACACUGGAACUGAGACACGGUCCAGACACCUACGGGAGGCAGCAGUGAGGAAUAUUGGUCAAUGGGCGGAAGCCUGAACCAGCCAUGCCGCGUGCAGGAAUAGAUCCCUAUGGGACAUAAACUGCUUUUGAUACUGAGCAAGAGCAUAUACGUGUAUAUGAGUGAGAGUAAGUAUCGAAUAAGCAUCGGCUAACUCCGUGCCAGCAGCCGCGGUAAUACGGGGGAUGCAAGCGUUAUCCGGAAUUAUUGGGUUUAAAGGGUGCGUAGGCUGUGCGGUGCGUCUGUGGUUAAAGGCCUCUGCUUAACGGAGCGUAUGCCAUAGAAACGGCCGUGCUUGAGAGUGAUUGCCGUGGGAGGAAUGCGUGGUGUAGCGGUGAAAUGCAUAGAUAUCACACAGAACACCGAUUGCGAAGGCUUCUCACGAAUUCAUAUCUUACGCUUGAAGCACGAAAGCGUGGGAAUCAAACAGGAAUAGAUACCCUGUGUAUUCCAAGGGCGAAUUCCUCAUUGGAUAUCAAUGCUUAUCGAUCCCGUCUACCUCGAGGGAGGAAACCAAGAACCAGAUGUUGUUCCCUUUAAUGUGGGGUAAUUAUGUGGUCGUUAUGCUAUAAUCUUUAUGUAUGUGCUUGUGUUUAUCCUGUGUGUUUAUUUGCUUGUAUGUGCAUGCUUUCUCUGCCUCUCGUCCCCUCCUGCGUGCCCUGUCUCAUCUUCAAAACCCCUGCAUUGGCUAAUUUGACUGACAUAUUACCAUUGCGUGUGUUAUUUCUUUUAGUGCUUGCAUGUGUGUGCCGUCUAGCUGUGUCCUGUAGCCCUGGUCUGUGCUUGCUGACUGUGU
rnacentral:rRNA from 1 species